rnacentral:rRNA from 1 species
GACGAAGGGGGCUAGCGUUGCUCGGAAUUACUGGGCGUAAAGCGCGUGUAGGCGGCUGUUCAAGUUGGGCGUGAAAGCCUUGGGCUUAACCCAAGAAAUGCGCUCAAUACUGGAUAGCUAGAGGACCGGAGAGGAUAGUGGAAUUCCCAGUGUAGUGGUGAAAUACGUAGAGAUUGGGAAGAACACCAGUGGCGAAGGCGGCUAUCUGGACGGUUUCUGACGCUAAGACGCGAGAGCGUGGGGAGCAAACAGG